GACGAACGCUGGCGGCGUGCCUAACACAUGCAAGUCGAACGGGGUGAGGCCCUUCGGGACCUUUACCUAGUGGCGAACGGGUGAGUAACGCGUGAGGAACCUGCCUUUCAGUGGGGGACAACAGUUGGAAACGACUGCUAAUACCGCAUGAAGCUUUUGGGAGACAUCUCCUGAAAGCCAAAGCUUAAUGUGCUGAAAGAUGGCCUCGCGUCUGAUUAGCUAGUUGGUGGGGUAACGGCCCACCAAGGCGACGAUCAGUAGCCGGUCUGAGAGGAUGAACGGCCACAUUGGGACUGAGAUACGGCCCAGACUCCUACGGGAGGCAGCAGUGGGGAAUAUUGGGCAAUGGGCGAAAGCCUGACCCAGCAACGCCGCGUGAAGGAAGAAGGCCUUCGGGUUGUAAACUUCUU
rnacentral:rRNA from 1 species